rnacentral:rRNA from 1 species
CCUACGGGUGGCAGCAGUGAGGAAUAUUGGUCAAUGGCCGUAAGGCUGAACCAGCCACGCCGCGUGAAGGAAGAAGGAUCUCUGGUUUGUAAACUUCUUUUAUAGGGGAAUAAAGGUAUCCAUGCGUGGAUAUUUGCAUGUACCUUACGAAUAAGCAUCGGCUAACUUCGUGCCAGCAGCCGCGGUAAUACGGAGGGUGCGAGCGUUAUCCGGAUUUAUUGGGUUUAAGGGGUGCGUAGGUUGUUUUUUAAGUCAGCGGUGAACGGUGGUGGCUCAACCAUAAAAUUGCAGUUGAAACUGGAAGACUUGAGUGUGUUUGAGGUAGGCGGAAUUCGUGGUGUAGCGGUGAAAUGCAUAGAUAGCACGAAGAACACCGAUGGCGAAGGCAGCUUACUAGGCCAUAACUGACACUGAGGCACGAAAGCGUGGGGAUCAAACAGGAUUAGAUACCCCUGUAGUC